rnacentral:rRNA from 1 species
AACGAACGCUGGCGGCAGGCUUAACACAUGCAAGUCGAACGGCUGUAGCAAUACAGCAGUGGCAGACGGGUGAGUAACACGUGGGAACCUUCCUAGGGGUACGGAACAACUCAGGGAAACUUGAGCUAAUACCGUAUACGUCCGUAAGGAGAAAGAUUCAUCGCCCCUAGACGGGCCCGCGUCGGAUUAGGUAGUUGGUGGGGUAACGGCCUACCAAGCCUGCGAUCCGUAGCUGAUCUGAGAGGAUGAUCAGCCACACUGGGACUGAGACACGGCCCAGACUCCUACGGGAGGCAGCAGUGGGGAAUCUUGGACAAUGGGCGCAAGCCUGAUCCAGCCAUGCCGCGUGAGUGAAGAAGGCCUUAGGGUUGUAAAGCUCUUUUACCAGGGACGAUAAUGACGGUACCUGGAGAAUAAGCCCCGGCAAACUUCGUGCCAGCCGCCGCCGU